UCGGGAAUUUUGGGCAAUGGGGGAAACCCUGACCCAGCAACGCCGCGUGAAGGAUGAAGUAUUUCGGUAUGUAAACUUCGAAAGAAUAGGAAGAAUAAAUGACGGUACUAUUUAUAAGGUCCGGCUAACUACGUGCCAGCAGCCGCGGUAAUACGUAGGGACCAAGCGUUGUUCGGAUUUACUGGGCGUAAAGGGCGCGUAGGCGGCUUGACAAGUCACUUGUGAAAUCUCUGGGCUUAACCCAGAACGGCCAAGUGAAACUGUCAUGCUAGAGUGCAGAAGGGGCAAUCGGAAUUCUUGGUGUAGCGGUGAAAUGCGUAGAUAUCAAGAGGAACACCUGAGGUGAAGACGGGUUGCUGGGCUGACACUGACGCUGAGGCGCGAAAGCCAGGGGAGCAAACGGGAUUAGAUACCCGCGUAGUCCCUGAGCGGGCUGGCAAGGCGCAU
rnacentral:rRNA from 1 species